rnacentral:rRNA from 1 species
AAAUUGAAGAGUUUGAUCAUGGCUCAGAUUGAACGCUGGCGGCAGGCCUAACACAUGCAAGUCGAACGGUAACAGGAAGAAGCUUGCUUCUUUGCUGACGAGUGGCGGACGGGUGAGUAAUGUCUGGGAAACUGCCUGAUGGAGAGGGAUAACUACUGGAAACGGUAGCUAAUACCGCAUAACGUCGCAAGACCAAAGAGGGGGACCUUCGGGCCUCUUGCCAUCGGAUGUGCCCAGAUGGGAUUAGCUAGUAGGUGGGGUAACGGCUCACCUAGGCGACGAUCCCUAGCUGGUCUGAGAGGAUGACCAGCCACACUGGAACUGAGACACGGUCCAGACUCCUACGGGAGGCAGCAGUGGGGAAUAUUGCACAAUGGGCGCAAGCCUGAUGCAGCCAUGCCGCGUGUAUGAAGAAGGCCUUCGGGUUGUAAAGUACUUUCAGCGGGGAGGAAGGGAGUAAAGUUAAUACCUUUGCUCAUUGACGUUACCCGCAGAAGAAGCACCGGCUAACUCCGUGCCAGCAGCCGCGGUAAUACGGAGGGUGCAAGCGUUAAUCGGAAUUACUGGGCGUAAAGCGCACGCAGGCGGUUUGUUAAGUCAGAUGUGAAAUCYCCGGGCUCAACCUGGGAACUGCAUCUGAUACUGGCAAGCUUGAGUCUCGUAGAGGGGGGUAGAAUUCCAGGUGUAGCGGUGAAAUGCGUAGAGAUCUGGAGGAAUACCGGUGGCGAAGGCGGCCCCCUGGACGAAGACUGACGCUCAGUGCGAAAGCGUGGGAGCAAACAGAUAGAUACCCUGGUAGUCCACGCCGUAAACGAUGUCGACUUGGAGGUUGUGCCCUUGAGGCGUGGCUUCCGGAGCUAACGCGUUAAGUCGACCGCCUGGGGAGUACGGCCGCAAGGUUAAAACUCAAAUGAAUUGACGGGGGCCCGCACAAGCGGUGGAGCAUGUGGUUUAAUUCGAUGCAACGCGAAGAACCUUACCUGGUCUUGACAUCCACGGAAGUUUUCAGAGAUGAGAAUGUGCCUUCGGGAACCGUGAGACAGGUGCUGCAUGGCUGUCGUCAGCUCGUGUUGUGAAAUGUUGGGUUAAGUCCCGCAACGAGCGCAACCCUUAUCCUUUGUUGCCAGCGGUCCGGCCGGGAACUCAAAGGAGACUGCCAGUGAUAAACUGGAGGAAGGUGGGGAUGACGUCAAGUCAUCAUGGCCCUUACGACCAGGGCUACACACGUGCUACAAUGGCGCAUACAAAGAGAAGCGACCUCGCGAGAGCAAGCGGACCUCAUAAAGUGCGUCGUAGUCCGGAUUGGAGUCUGCAACUCGACUCCAUGAAGUCGGAAUCGCUAGUAAUCGUGGAUCAGAAUGCCACGGUGAAUACGUUCCCGGGCCUUGUACACACCGCCCGUCACACCAUGGGAGUGGGUUGCAAAAGAAGUAGGUAGCUUAACCUUCGGGAGGGCGCUUACCACUUUGUGAUUCAUGACUGGGGUGAAGUCGUAACAAGGUAACCGUAGGGGAACCUGCGGUUGGAUCACCUCCUUA